GGAAUCUUGAGGAGACCUGCCCAUAGUACGAGAGGACCUGGGUGGACGAACCUCUGGUAUGCCGGUUGUCACGCCAGUGGCACCGCCGGUUGGCCACGUUCGGAAGGGAUAACCGCUGAAAGCAUCUAAGCGGGAAGCCUGCUCCAAGAUUAGGAUUCCGUGGGGCCAUCGAGCCCCUGGAGACCCCAUGCAGAACACAUGGUCGAUAGGCCGGACGUGGAAGCCCCGCGAGGGGUGGAGCUGACCGGUACUAAUGGUCGAGAGGCAAUCACAC
rnacentral:ncRNA from 1 species